rnacentral:rRNA from 1 species
AGUAAAAGUCGUAACAAGGUCUCCGUUGGUGAACCAGCGGAGGGAUCAUUACAGAGUUGCAAAACUCCCACAAACCAUCGCGAAUCUUACCCGUACGGUUGCCUCGGCGCUGGCGGUCCGGAAAGGCCUUCGGGCCCUCCCGGAUCCUCGGGUCUCCCGCUCGCGGGAGGCUGCCCGCCGGAGUGCCGAAACUAAACUCUUGAUAUUUUAUGUCUCUCUGAGUAAACUUUUAAAUAAGUCAAAACUUUCAACAACGGAUCUCUUGGUUCUGGCAUCGAUGAAGAACGCAGCGAAAUGCGAUAAGUAAUGUGAAUUGCAGAAUUCAGUGAAUCAUCGAAUCUUUGAACGCACAUUGCGCUCGCCAGUAUUCUGGCGAGCAUGCCUGUUCGAGCGUCAUUUCAACCAUCAAGCUCUGCUUGCGUUGGGGAUCCGCGGCUGUCCGCGGUCCCUCAAAAUCAGUGGCGGGCUCGCUAGUCACACCGAGCGUAGUAACUCUACAUCGCUAUGGUCGUGCGGCGGGUUCUUGCCGUAAAACCCCCCAUUUCUAAGGUUGACCUCGGAUCAGGUAGGAAUACCCGCUGAACUUAAGCAUAUCAAUAAGCGGAGGAAAAGAAACCAACAGGGAUUGCCCCAGUAACG